UACAGAGGGGGCAAGCGUUAUUCGGAAUUAUUGGGCGUAAAGAGCUCGUAGGCGGCUUAGUAAGUCGGGUGUGAAACCUCCAGGCUCAACCUGGAGACGCCACCCGAUACUGCUGUGGCUAGAGUCCGGUAGGGGAGCGUGGAAUUCCUGGUGUAGCGGUGAAAUGCGUAGAUAUCGGGAGGAACACCAGUGGCGAAGGCGACUACCUGGCCUGUUUCUUGACGCUGAGGCGCGAAAGCCAGGGGAGCGAACGGG
rnacentral:rRNA from 1 species